GGGCCAUAGCUCGGUGGUAGAGCAUCUGCUUUGCAUGCAAAGGGUUGCAGGUUCAAUCCCUGGCAUCUCCA
rnacentral:tRNA from 1 species